rnacentral:rRNA from 1 species
GAUGAACGCUAGCGGCAGGCUUAACACAUGCAAGUCGAGGGGUAUGCUUCUUCGGAAGCAGAGACCGGCGCACGGGUGCGUAACGCGUAUGCAAUCUACCUUUUACAGAGGGGUAGCCCAGAGAAAUUUGGAUUAAUACCUCAUAGUAUUAUAGAAUGGCAUCAUUUAUAAUUAAAGUCACAACGGUAAAGAUGAGCAUGCGUCCCAUUAGCUAGUUGGUAAGGAACGGCUUACCAAGGCUACGAUGGGUAGGGGUCCUGAGAGGGAGAUCCCCACCACU